GCCAAAGCCCCCUUCAUCGGCACAUUAAAAAGUGGAAUUAUACAGAGAAGAUUGUCAUGGCCCCUGAACAAGGGUAACAUGCAAAUUCAUGAAAUAUUCCUUUUUGUG
ensembl:snRNA U6 U6 spliceosomal RNA